AGGACGAACGCUGGCGGCGUGCUUAACACAUGCAAGUCGAGCGGAAAGGCCACUUCGGUGGUACUCGAGCGGCGAACGGGUGAGUAACACGUGAGUAAUCUGCCCCUGGCUUUGGGAUAGCCACCGGAAACGGUGAUUAAUACCGGAUAUGACUGCUCCUCGCAUGAGGUGGUGGUGGAAAGUUUUUUCGGCCAGGGAUGUGCUCGCGGCCUAUCAGCUUGAUGGUGGAGUAAUGGCUCACCAUGGCUUCGACGGGUAGCCGGCCUGAGAGGGUGACCCGGUCACACUGGGACUGAGACACGGCCCAGACUCCUACGGGAGCAGCGAGUGGGGAAUAGUUGGACAAGUGGGCGGAAGCCUGAUCCAGCAACGCCGCGUGACGGGAUGGACGGCCGUUCGGUUACGUAAACCUCUUUCGCCUGUGACGUAAGUUC
rnacentral:rRNA from 1 species